rnacentral:lncRNA from 1 species
GAUGAAACCGAAUUAUUCAUAUUUCUGGAGCAUUUUUAGCUGGAGCUGCAGUGCAACCAUGGUACUAGAUGCUGGUUUGCCUCUUCUCUUCUAACUUAAUAAGAUAUGAUGUGUUUGUGCUUAAAUGGUUCUUGAUGAUGAGCUGAUAUAAUUAGUAGAUAUCUGAAACUAAUGGAUCAUAUAUCAGGCGUCAAAUCUGAAUUUUCACGCGUGUGCACUAAUGAAUUUUCACGCAUGUGCACUAAUGGAUCAUAUAUCAGGCUUGUUGAAUUGUUUUGUGGAUAUGCUGCAGUUCACAGUUUUUCUUCUACCACAGUAACAUCUCUUGACUAUUACAUGAUCAAUGUAUUCGUGAGGAAUUGCAGGUUUUCUUUGCCUCAAAGGUGCACACAUACUGUAGUUAGCCAUUGAUGGUUUUGUGGCUUCAGCCAUGAUACUAAAAUGGUUCUCAAUUUUGUGAUUCACUGUAGUCAAUGGGUACCACGUAUUUGUUUCGAUAGAAGGCGAGAUGUUUAUACUUUUUACACUACAAUCGGCCCCGUAGAUGGACAUAAAGGAUAUUUGCUUGAUGAAAAUGUGCUUUUGAGUGCAGUGAAUUUUGCCUGAUAUGUAUUCUUGAUGUAUGGUGGAUGGGAAAGAGCGACGCGGCUUUCUGUUGAUCCAUCGCCAAUUGCUCCUGAUGUAUGGUGUACACAUAGGCCGUUAUUCAGUGCAUUUGAAAUAAACCUGGGCAUUUAAUGGUUUAUCGGUUUAUGUGUGCAAGUACAAGAAGACAACUAAUGAUCUUACUACAGAGCAUGACACCGUGAUCCCUUGAUGCCAAUGUCUUCAGUUUGUCCGCGUCGUGGUGAGGUGGAGAGCCAAAAUGCAUGAAGCUUAUGACAUGGGUGAAGGAGAUGAAAGCUCUAGGCAAGUAGGGAGUACCACAAGAUCUGACUCACCACCAUCUGAUCUAGGCACUGUCCGGCCGAGGUAAUGAAGGGUGACAUAGGGAGGGCUGAGAGACACUGCUGACGUUCUCUUUUUAUUUUGCAUUUACUUAUUUAUUUCUCAUUUACUUAGUCAGGUUAUUUUACAGUACCUAAGG